UGAUCCUGGCUCAGAUUGAACGCUGGCGGUAUGCUUAACACAUGCAAGUCGAACGGAAACGAUACUAGCUUGCUAGUAGGCGUCGAGUGGCGGACGGGUGAGUAACGCGUAGGAAUCUGCCUGAUAGUGGGGGAUAGCCCGGAGAAAUUCGGAUUAAUACCGCAUAAUCUAUUCGUAGUAAAGUGGGGGACUUUCGAGCCUCACGCUAUCAGAUGAGCCUGCGUAAGAUUAGCUAGUUGGUAGGGUAAAAGCCUACCAAGGCGACGAUCUUUAGCUGGUCUGAGAGGAUGAUCAGCCACAUCGGGACUGAGACACGGCCCGAACUCCUACGGGAGGCAGCAGUGGGGAAUAUUGGACAAUGGGGGCAACCCUGAUCCAGCAAUACCGCGUGUGUGAAGAAGGCCUGAGGGUUGUAAAGCACUUUCAAUUGUGAAGAAAAGUUAACGGUUAAUAACCGUUAGCCUUGACGUUAACUUUAGAAGAAGCACCGGCUAACUCCGUGCCAGCAGCCGCGGUAAUACGGAGGGUGCAAGCGUUAAUCGGAAUUACUGGGCGUAAAGCGUGCGUAGGCGGUUUAUUAAGUCAGAUGUGAAAGCCCCGGGCUUAACCUGGGAACUGCAUUUGAAACUGGUAAACUAGAGUAUGGUAGAGGAAAGUGGAAUUUCUGGUGUAGCGGUGAAAUGCGUAGAUAUCAGAAGGAACAUCAAUGGCGAAGGCAGCUUUCUGGACCAAUACUGACGCUGAGGUACGAAAGCGUGGGUAGCAAACAGGAUUAGAUACCCUGGUAGU
rnacentral:rRNA from 1 species